rnacentral:tRNA from 1 species
UGGCGCAACAGGUCAGCGCAUUCGGCUGUUAACCGAAAGGUUGGUGGUUCAAACCCACC